UCCAUAAGUAUUUAGUAAUAUUAGUCUAAUCGUAGUUUUAAUUAACCACACAGACACCAGAUGUCGCCUUUUGAGUAGAGAUUCGAGAAAUGUCUAAUAUAUGCACUGACAAAUCUUUUGAUCAAUUGAAAAUGUAAUAAUUAUGUGUCAAUUUAUAAUUGAUGAGCAUCUACUCCAUUAUCCAGAUGGCAAUAGCUGACCAUAUUCAAAUGAGUCGGGAGUCAAAAUAUUAGAUCAGUGUAACUUCAUUGUAUGUGACAUCUGGCUUAGAGGAUGCUUUUACCACAGAAUAUCGAAAUUUCAGCAGCAAGAAAAUUGAGGUCAACAAUGAAUAUUUAUCACAGGAAACACCUACAAAACUCAACAAACAAAGGUAUUAUGGCAAGUGGUCAGACAUCCAACCUGAAAAGUAUAUAUUGAUACCACAAAACGUUCCAUAUUGAUUAGUAUUCAAGUGGAUAUGACACAAAAAUGCUUCGGUGGCUAUUGAGAUCCAUAAACACAGAAAUAAUUUCAAUAGAAAAGGUGCCUAAAACAAGAUAAAAUUUGGACACCAGUUCUUAAAAACAUACAAAUUUGCUAAGCAGAUUAGAACUGCCACUAAGCAGAAAAAAAUUUACUGAACAUCAGAUGUGAGAUGACAAAAAACACAAACUAAAUCGGACUUCUGAACGUCAGUAAAUAAUUCUGUUGAACGUACAUUAGGAAAAGCGUUUGACCCCUCUGAAUUUAGGGGGAGACAUGUAAAAUGUAAAAUGUAAAAUGUAAAAUGUAAAAUAUAAAAUGUAAUAUGUAAAA